GACUGUGAGAACAAUCUGCUUGGUGCAUCUGUUGCCCCGCGGAUUGCCAGGUGCUCUGGAGAUGUGUGUGGUUCUCUUUCCCUCAUGCCAUGUGCAUCCCUCCCGAGGCUGUGGGCUGUGUCCAAGAGAAUGACCUUCCUCGACAGAGGAGGGUGGGCUCUUCAGGCAGAGAAACAGGAGUAGCUUCCUUCUGCUGGAACCUUCAGCUACAGCUUUAAAUGGUGUCUGUGUGUGUGUGUGUGUGCGUAGUUAAUGAGACCACUGUAGCAGAGAGGUGGUUAAUAUAAGGGGUGGUACUGUCUU
rnacentral:sRNA from 1 species